AACGAACGCUGGCGGCAGGCUUAACACAUGCAAGUCGAGCGCCCCGCAAGGGGAGCGGCAGACGGGUGAGUAACGCGUGGGAAUCUACCUUUUGCUACGGAAUAACGCAGGGAAACUUGUGCUAAUACCGUAUGUGUCCUUCGGGAGAAAGAUUUAUCGGCAAGAGAUGAGCCCGCGUUGGAUUAGCUAGUUGGUGGGGUAAAGGCCUACCAAGGCGACGAUCCAUAGCUGGUCUGAGAGGAUGAUCAGCCACAUCGGGACUGAGACACGGCCCAAACCCCUACGGGAGGCAGCAGUGGGGAAUAUUGGACAAUGGGCGCAAGCCUGAUCCAGCCAUGCCGCGUGAGUGAUGAAGGCCCUAGGGUUGUAAAGCUCUUUCACCGGAGAAGAUAAUGACGGUAUCCCGAGAAGAAGCCCCGGCUAACUUCGUGCCAGCCGCCGCGGUAA
rnacentral:rRNA from 2 species